GGAACAUGUGAUCUUUAUCCACAAGUUAGCAUUUUUCUCGUUAUGUUUCUUGAAAAUUUUUGUUGACAUGUCUUCUUUGCACUUAGCAAUACUUCAUGGUAAUUGGGUCUACAAUUCUACAUCUUUUGAGGCCAUUAUCAAUGUUGUGCAUCUUAAUGAGUUUCAUGGAAACCUAUUGGGAUUUGGGCCUUGCUUUGGAAGAGUUAAUUUUUGCUAGGUGUAAGCCAGUUCUGCUGAUGUGGAGGUUUGGGUUUGAUACUUUUAUUUGUUUUUCCUCUCUAAAGAGGAAAAUGUCAAUGAAGGAACCAUAACUCAGUUAGAUGCAUGAUAGAUGGAACACAAAUCUACAUGUAAAUAUCCCUUGCAUACAUUUCUUGUUUCCCAUUUAUUGGUGACACGAAUCUGUGUAAGUUUUUAGUUUACCUUUUGUAUAUAGUUGGUUUAGGGGAAGCCAUAACGUGUCAUGAAUCCAUUUUACUCUUAAACAAUUUGUAAUUACUGUCUUAUUCUAGUUGAGUUGAUUUGAGGUUCAUUGUCCAUGUGUAGGAGAGUAGUAGAUUAUUGAGAACUGCAGUUAGUGUAUUAGUGGUUAUGUUUUAUUGCAUUUUCUCCCCAGAGUUUAAAGCACAAUCCCAAUGGA
rnacentral:misc_RNA from 1 species